rnacentral:rRNA from 1 species
GAAACCGCGAAUGGCUCAUUAAAUCAGUUAUGGUUCCUUAGAUCGUACCCACAUUACUUGGAUAACUGUGGUAAUUCUAGAGCUAAUACAUGCAAAUAGAGUUCCGACCAGUGAUGGAAGGAAUGCUUUUAUUAGAUUCAAAACCAAUCGGUAGCGGGCUUGCCUUGCCGCCGUUUGACUUGAUGACUCUGAAUAACUUAGUGCUGAUCGCACGGUCUCGUACCGGCGACGCAUCUUUCAAAUGUCUGCCUUAUCAACUGUCGAUGGUAGUUUCUGCGACUACCAUGGUUGUUACGGGUAACGGGGAAUCAGGGUUCGAUUCCGGAGAGGGAGCCUGAGAAACGGCUACCACAUCCAAGGAAGGCAGCAGGCGCGCAAAUUACCCACUCCCGGCACGGGGAGGUAGUGACGAAAAAUAACGAUACGGGACUCAUCCGAGGCCCCGUAAUCGGAAUGAGUACACUUUAAAUCCUUUAACGAGGAUCUAUUAGAGGGCCAGUCUGGUGCCAGCAGCCGCGGUAAUUCCAGCUCUAAUAGCGUAUAUUAAAGUUGUUGCGGUUAAAAAGCUCGUAGUUGAAUCUGUGUCCCGCACUGUCGGUUCACCGCUCGCGGUGUUCAACUGGCAUGUCUGUGGGACGUCCUGCCGGUGGGUUUAGCCCGUCAAAAGGCGACCCAACUAAAAUCCUACCACGGUGCUCUUUACCGAGUGUCGA